rnacentral:rRNA from 1 species
GGAAGGGGUGUAUUUAUUAGAUAAAAAAUCAAUGCUCUUCUGAGCUCUUUGAUGAUUCAUAAUAACUUUUCGAAUCGCAUGACUUCGUGUCGGCGAUGGUUCAUUCAAAUUUCUGCCCUAUCAACUUUCGAUGGUAGGAUAGUGGCCUACCAUGGUUUCAACGGGUAACGGGGAAUAAGGGUUCGAUUCCGGAGAGGGAGCCUGAGAAGCGGCUACCACAUCCAAGGAAGGCAGCAGGCGCGCAAAUUACCCAAUCCUAAUUCAGGGAGGUAGUGACAAUAAAUAACGAUACAGGGCCCAUUUGGGUCUUGUAAUUGGAAUGAGUACAAUGUAAAUACCUUAACGAGGAACAAUUGGAGGGCAAGUCUGGUGCCCAGCAGCC